GUGGCAGAGAGGCAGAGAAAAAAGAGAUGAGAGAGUGAGAGAGAUCAGCUGCACAUGUGUAGUUGUGAUGUUUAUGACACAUGUACAUUGUAACUGAACAACCCAGGCUGACAGUUUUUAAUAAUUAUUUUGAUAA